rnacentral:rRNA from 1 species
UACGUAGGGUGCAAGCGUUAAUCGGAAUUACUGGGCGUAAAGCGUGCGCAGGCGGUGAUGUAAGACAGUUGUGAAAUCCCCGGGCUCAACCUGGGAACUGCACCUGUGACUGCAUUGCUGGAGUGCGGCAGAGGGGGAUGGAAUUCCGCGUGUAGCAGUGAAAUGCGUAGAUAUGCGGAGGAACACCGAUGGCGAAGGCAAUCCCCUGGGCCUGCACUGACGCUCAUGCACGAAAGCGUGGGGAGCAAACAGG